AACGAACGCUGGCGGCAGGCCUAAAACAUGCAAGUCGAACGAACCUUCGGGUUAGUGGCGCACGGGUGAGUAACGCGUGGGAAUAUGCCCUUCACUGCGGAACAACGUCGGGAAACUGACGCUAAUACCGCAUAAUGACUCCGGUCCAAAGAUUUAUCGGUGAAGGAUUAGCCCGCGUCUGAUUAGCUAGUUGGUGAGGUAAUGGCUCACCAAGGCGACGAUCAGUAGGGGGUCUGAGGGGAUGAUCCCCCACACUGGAACUGAGACACGGUCCAGACUCCUACGGGAGGCAGCAGUUAGGAAUAUUGGACAAUGGGGGAAACCCUGAUCCAGCCAUGCCGCGUGUGUGAAGAAGGCCUUAGGGUUGUAAAGCACUUUCAGCUGUGAAGAUAAUGACAGUAGCAGAAGAAGAAGCUCCGGCUAAAUUCGUGCCAGCAGCCGCCGCGG
rnacentral:rRNA from 1 species